AUGGACAGCGAGCCCUUGGGCCGUGUCUCCUUUGAGCCGUUUGCAAACAAGAUUCCAAAGAUAGCAGAAAACUUUCGUGCUCUGAGCACCGGACAGAAAGGUUUUGGUUGUAAGGGUUCCUGCUUUCACAGAAGUAUUCCAGGGUUUACGUGUCAGGGCAGUGACUUCACAUGCCAUAAUGGCACUGAUGGCAAGUCCAUCUACGAGGAGAAAUUUGAUGAUGAGGACGUCAUCCUAAAGCAUACAGGUCCCGGCAUCUUGUCCCUGGCAAAUGCUGGACCCAACACAAACGGUUCCCAGUUUUUCAUCUGCACUGCCAAGACUGAGUGGAUGGCAAGCAUGUGGUCUUUGGCACGGUGAAAGGAGGCAUGAAUAUAGCGGAGGCCAUGGAGCACUUUGGGUCCAGAAAUGGCGAGACCAGCAAGACCAGCACUGCUGACUGUGGACAGUGCUAACAGGUUUGACUUGUGUUUAUCUUAGCCACCAGACCGCUCCUUCUGUAGCUCAGGAGAGCACCCCUCUACCCCAUUUGCUCGCAGUAUCCUAGAAUCUUUGUGCUCUCGCUGCAGUUCCCUUUGGGUUCCAUGUUUUCCUUGUUCCCUUCCAUGCCUAGCUGGAUUGCAGAGUUAAGUUUAUGAUUAUGAAAUAAAGACUAAAU